rnacentral:rRNA from 1 species
GACGAACGCUGGCGGCGUGCCUAAUACAUGCAAGUUGAGCGCUGAAGGUUGGUACUUGUACCGACUGGAUGAGCAGCGCACGGGUGAGUAACGCGUGGGGAAUCUGCCUUUGAGCGGGGGACAACAUUUGGAAACGAAUGCUAAUACCGCAUAAAAACUUUAAACACAAGUUUUAAGUUUGAAAGAUGCAAUUGCAUCACUCAAAGAUGAUCCCGCGUUGUAUUAGCUAGUUGGUGAGGUAAAGGCUCACCAAGGCGGUGAUACAUAGCCGACCUGAGAGGGUGAUAGGCCACACUGGGACUGUGACACGGCACAAAGUGCUACGGAAAGCAGCAGUAGGGAAUCUUCGGCAAGGGACGAGAGUCUGACCGAGCAACGCCGCGUGAGUGAAGAAGGAUGUCGGAUCGUAGAAGUCUGUUGGUAGAGAAGAACGUUGGUGAGAGUGGAAAGCUCAUCAAGUGACGGUAACUACCCAGAAAGGGACGACUAACUACGUG